rnacentral:rRNA from 1 species
CCUACGGGAGGCAGCAGUGGGGAAUAUUGGGCAAUGGAGGCAACUCUGACCCAGCAACGCCGCGUGAAUGAUGAAGGUCUUCGGAUUGUAAAGUUCUGUGAUGGGGGAUGAACACAAGGACGGUAACCCAAUAGCAAGUCACGGCUAACUACGUGCCAGCCGCCGCGUUAAUACGUAGGAGGCAAGCGUUAUCCGGAAUGACUGGGCGUAAAGGGUGGGUAGGUGGUUUAGUAAGUUGGCGGUGAAAUUCCGGGGCUCAACCUCGGUACUACAGCCGAAACUAUUAGACUUGAGUGCAGGAGGGGUUAGUGGAACUCCUGGUGUAGCGGUGAAAUGCGUAGAUAUUAGGAGGAACAUCAGGGGCGAAGGCGACUUACUGGACUGUAACUGACGCUGAGGCUCGAAAGCGUGGGGAGCAAACAGGAUUAGAUACCCGUGUAGUC